GAAAUAAGUUGAACAAGAAAAAGCUUCUAACUUUAAUCUUAAACGGUUUAAAUCCGUUUUUAUUUCU
rnacentral:tRNA from 1 species